GCCAGCAGCCAUUUCACCCUGCAACUCACAACUGGCAGGCCACUGAAGCUCAGCAGGUGUGAGCCUGGUCAGUACCUGGAUGGGAGACCUCCUGGGAAAAACUAAGGUUGCUGCUGGAA
rnacentral:rRNA from 1 species